rnacentral:lncRNA from 1 species
CUGGUUUUGAUACAGAAUGAUCAUAAAAAAUAAUGUGUUGUGAUUGCGAAUGAGACAACUCUUCACAAGAGACCAAAUGACAAAUAUAUUAACAACUAUAGGUCAUCGUAUAUGCUUCAACAACGGACAAAGUUGUUACCGCAUAGAAAGCAGUGAAAGGCCCCGAAGUGACAAAUGUAAAACAAUUCAAAUGAAAAAGCUUUUGUGCGUCACUGAUCAAUCUUUUGUAGACAAAACGCACGUCUGGCGUCAAUACAAAAACUUAAUCCUGGUAUCUAUGAUGAGUAUAAUUAUGUACAUAACAUGAAAGCAAAACCAAAUGUGUAACACAACAACAAACGACAACCACUGAUGUACAGGCUCCUGACUUGGGACAGGCACAUAAAUUCAUACAUAAUGUGGCGAUGUUAAAAUAUGUUAGAAGAAUAAAAUUCCCUCUCCUAACCUGGGACAGUUCUGAAACAGUACAACACAAACAUGAACUGUAAUAAUUAGUCGAAAAGAGAUCAACUCAUCCUUUCAUUAAAUAGAUACAAAUAGAAAUACCACUGACAACAACACAGAGGGGACGUGAUCGGGUACUUUCAUAGCUUUUUAAAACACUUCUGAAACCAGCAAUUCGUGUCAAUUGCCCGUUUUCAUGUAAAAAGUAAGGUUAAAUCAUAUAAAUUAACAUGAAACACAUUUAGAAAAGAGUAAAAAAUAAUGUUCAUUGGUUUUAGAAAUCCUGCCUUUACGGUCUGAAACAGAGAGGGUACAAAAGGGAACAUUUCAACUCAUGAGUCGAAAAUACACUGACAAUGACAUGGUCAAAAAGGU